UAAUAGCCCCGAUUGAAGCAAGCUACCGUGUAGCGCGUAAAGCGGGAGCAAGU
rnacentral:sRNA from 1 species